rnacentral:rRNA from 1 species
UACGUAGGGUGCAAGCGUUGUCCGGAAUUAUUGGGCGUAAAGAGCUCGUAGGUGGUUCGGUAAGUCGGAUGUGAAAUCUCCAGGCUCAACCUGGAGGGGUCAUUCGAUACUGCCGUGACUAGAGGUCGGUAGGGGAGUGUGGAAUUCCUAGUGGAGCGGUGAAAUGCGCAGAUAUCAGGAGGAACACCCGUAGCGAAGGCGGCACUCUGGGCCGAUACUGACACUGAGGAGCGAAAGCGUGGGGAGCGAACAGG